CACGUGGGCAACCUGCCCUGUAGUUGGGGAUAACUCCGGGAAACCGGGGCUAAUACCGAAUAAUCAGUUCCUUCGCAUGAAGGAACUCUGAAAGACGGCUAUGCUGUCACUACAGGAUGGGCCCGCGGCGCAUUAGCUAGUUGGUGAGGUAACGGCUUACCAAGGCGACGAUGCGUAGCCGACCUGAGAGGGUGAUCGGCCACACUGGGACUGAGACACGGCCCAGACUCCUACGGGAGGCAGCAGUAGGGAAUCUUCCACAAUGGACGAAAGUCUGAUGGAGCAACGCCGCGUGAGCGA
rnacentral:rRNA from 1 species